UACAGAGGGUGCGAGCGUUGUCCGGAAUCACUGGGCGUAAAGGGCGCGUAGGCGGCGUGACAAGUCACUUGUGAAAUCUCCGGGCUUAACUCGGAACGGUCAAGUGAUACUGUUGUGCUAGAGUACAGAAGGGGCAAUCGGAAUUCUUGGUGUAGCGGUGAAAUGCGUAGAUAUCAAGAGGAACACCAGAGGCGAAGGCGGAUUGCUGGGACUGAUACUGACGCUGAGGCGCGAAAGCUAGGGUAGCAAACGGG
rnacentral:rRNA from 1 species